AACAAAACAGAAAAGGAGAGAUUGCCAUAUACAGUUGUCCCUCCACAUUUGCAAGUUUGACUUUUAUGGAUUUCAUCAUUUGUAAAAAGGGAACACCUCUCUCUAGAAACUUCCAGUCCAUGUUACUCUAUGAUCAACUUCUGUUGGUAAUUGCCACCAAAUUGUGCCGGAGGCUCUACAGAUUCUGAGAAAGGUCACAGAAAAAAACAAACAAGGCAUCUGGCACUCUGCAAUCAACAAUGUCAUGUUUAUGAAAAGAUAAUCUAAAAGGAUUGCCAGAAGGAACCUAGCUGAAGUUAAAUCAGCUUCAAAGUGGUAUUCUGACACAAUGGUGUCACAACAUGCAUUUUCCCCUAUUAUUUCCUACUGGAUUGGCUCUGUCAAAUCUUAUUGGGAAAGAAUAAAGUUUUAAAACAGUG